rnacentral:rRNA from 1 species
AUUGAACGCUGGCGGCAGGCCUAACACAUGCAAGUCGAGCGAGAAAGGCCUUCGGGCUGAGUACAGCGGCGGACGGGUGAGUAACGCGUAGGAAUCUACCUGGUAGUGGGGGACAACAUGGGGAAACUCAUGCUAAUACCGCAUACGCCCUAUGGGGGAAAGCGGGGGACCUUCGGGCCUCGCGCUAUCAGAUGAGCCUGCGUAGGAUUAGCUUGUUGGUGAGGUAAAAGCUCACCAAGGCGACGAUCCUUAGCUGGUCUGAGAGGAUGAUCAGCCACACUGGGACUGAGACACGGGCCCAGACUCCUACGGGGAGGCAGCAGUGGGGAAUAUUGCGCAAUGGGCGAAAGCCUGACGCAGCCAUGCCGCGUGUGUGAAGAAGGCCUUAGGGUUGUAAAGCACUUUCAAUUGGGAAGAAAGGUUGUACGUUAAUAGCGUGCAGCUGUGACGUUACCUUUAGAAG